rnacentral:rRNA from 1 species
GUCGGCGACUAAUACCUCAUAAUGCAGCGGAUCCGCAUGGAUAUGUUGUUAAAGGUUUACCGCCUUGGGAUAGGCUUGCGUCUGAUUAGCUAGUUGGUGUGGUAACGGCACACCAAGGCUACGAUCAGUAACUGGUCUGAGAGGAUGAUCAGUCACACUGGAACUGAGACACGGUCCAGACUCCUACGGGAGGCAGCAGUGAGGAAUAUUGGGCAAUGCUCGAAAGAGUGACCCAGCAACGCCGCGUGGAGGAUGAAGGUAUUCUAUAUCGUAAACUCCUGUGAGAGCAGACGAAAGACAGAUUAUUAAUCUGGAUGACUGUAUGCUCAGAGGAAGCCCCGGCUAACUACGUG